UCCAGACUCCUACGGGAGGCAACAGUGGGGGAUAUUGCACAAUGGGGGGAACCCUGGUGCAGCGACGCCGCGUGGGUGAAGGAGCGUUUCGGCGCGUAAAGCCCUAUCGGCAGGGAAGAAGGAGGACGGUACCUGACUAAGAAGCCCCGGCUAACUACGUGCCAGCAGCCGCGGUAAUACGUAGGGGGCAAGCGUUAUCCGGAUUUACUGGGUGUAAAGGGGGCGCAGACGGCAGCGCAAGCCAGGAGUGAAAGCCCGGGGCCCAACCCCGGGACUGCUCUUGGAACUGCGCGGCUGGAGUGCAGGAGGGGCAGGCGGAAUUCCUGGUGUAGCGGUGAAAUGCGUAGAUAUCAGGAGGAACACCGGUGGCGAAGGCGGCCUGCUGGACUGCGACUGACGUUGAGGCCCGAAAGCGUGGGGAGCAAACAGGAUUAGAUACCCCGGUAAA
rnacentral:rRNA from 1 species